GACGAACGCCGGCGGCGUGGAUUAGGCAUGCAAGUCGAACGGUAUCAUCCUUUCGGGGGUGAGAGAGUGGCGAACUGGUGAGUAACACGUAGGUUAUCUACCCUCAAGACGGGGACAACCCAGGGAAACUUGGGCUAAUACCGGAUGUGAGCAACUUUUAGUUGUUUGAAAGGUGGCGUAAGCUGUCGCUUGGGGAUGAGCCUGCGUCCUAUUAGUUAGUUGGUGAGGUAACGGCUCACCUAGGCAAUGAUAGGUAGGCGGCCUUAACGGGUGGUCGCCCACACUGGGAUUGAGAUACGGCCCAGACUCCUACGGGAGGCAGCAGUCGAGAAUAGUCUACAAUGGUCGGAAGACUGAUAGUGCGACGCCGCGUGAACGAUGAAUCCCUUCGGGGUGUAAAGUUCUUUUAUAUGUGAGCAGUGCUUCUUAUAUUAACAGUAUGGGGAGAGAGAUAUUAGCAUAUGAAUAAGCAACGGCUAACUCCGUGCCAGCAGCCGCGGUAAU
rnacentral:rRNA from 1 species